CCUCAACCUAAUUUUCUCUUAUGCAUGUACAGUAUCUAAUAUCUGCAACACUCCAUUUCUGAUCACCACCUCUUAUUGUUUGCUCUCAAGUACCCCCUCACUCAACAACCUCAGCCUAACCCCCCUCAACUCAGGAGGAAACUUAAUUCUAUUGACCUCCAGCAGCUGUCAGCUGAUGUUGAUUCACAACUGUUCUCCAUCCCUUCCCUCUCC